rnacentral:rRNA from 1 species
UACAGAGGGGGCAAGCGUUAUUCGGAAUUAUUGGGCGUAAAGGGCGCGUAGGCGGCUUGGCAAGUGGAUGGUGAAAUCCCUCGGCUUAACCGAGGAACUGCCGUCCAAACUGCUUGGCUUGAGACCGGGAGAGGUGAGUGGAACUCCUGGUGUAGCGGUGGAAUGCGCAGAUAUCAGGAAGAACACCAACGGCGAAGGCAGCUCGCUGGGACGGUACUGACGCUGAGACGCGAAAGCGUGGGGAGCGAACAGG